GCUGAGGUCAAAAUACAAUGUCAGUACAGUGCUACAGGUUCACAGUUUAGAUCCAUAUACAGUGAGCCGUCAACAGUCACAAUUCAGGACCUUCCUCAGGUGACAGUGAGUUCUACAGUCAUCAGAGAGACAGAAUCAGUUCAGCUGAGUUGUGAAACUCCACCCUCUCUCCAUGUGUCUCACUGUUACUUCUACAUAGAGGGGGGGAGGAAUCUUUCAGAAUCCUUGUGUACGCAGACAAUAACAGCAACUGAGUUGCUGAAGAGGUCUUGUCAAACAUUUCCAGCUGUGGUCAAAGUGAAAUGUUACUAUGCUGUAGGGAAGUCUCACACAUCUCCUAUAAGUGACCCUGUCUCAGUCACUGUUCAGGACCCACCUCCUCCCAGGCUGACAGUCAGCUCUACAGUCAUCGGAGAGAGAGACUCAGUUCAGCUGAGCUGUCAGACUCCUCCAUCUGUCUAUGUGUCUCAGUGUUACUUCUACACAGAGGGGAGAGAUCCUAAACCCUCACCCUGUAUGAGGUCACUCACGGGGACUGAGCUGCUCUCGUGGGCAGGUCAAAGUUCAUCUGCUGAGAUCAAACUGAGAUGUUUUUACACAGUAGAAACUUACUAUCCAUCGAUGCACAGUGGUUCUGUCUCUCUUACUAUUCUUGAUCCAAAACCAGACAUUACAGUCAAUUUUGAUGAGAACUUCACCAUCUGUUUGAUUCGUGGAUCCGUCAGUCCUGACACCACCUGUAACCUGUAUGUUGGAGAGGAGAGUCAGCCAUCCUUCACAGCAAAGAUCAAGAAGAGAAAAGCCACCUCAGCAUCCGGACAGCAGUUCUGUAUAUUCACUCCAAAACAUAGUGAUCUGAUCAGUCGUCUACAGUCAGUGAGGCGUAAGGAGGUGAGCUGUGACUACAGAGUGAGCUCAGGACCAAACUCUCUCUCUCCACGCAGUGAUGGGUACAGCUUGGCACAUCUGGUGGGAGUUCACAUUAGUGAUCCAACAUCUCAACUCUUUCCAGCAGGUUUGACCUCUCCUUUGACCCCCAGUACAGCACUGAAUCCAUCACCAGUGUGUUAGUCAUCAUUACCUAGUUAGC